AUAUAAUGAUUCUAUUUAUGUAUACAUUGGUAACUGAUCACCACAGCAGGUCUAGUUCACAUCUAUCACCUCACAUAAUUACUAUUUUUUUUGAUGAGUAGAACUUUUAAGAUCUACUCUCUUAGCACCUUUCAAAUAUACAAUACAGUAGUAUGAACUAUAAUCACCAUGCUGCCCAUGACAUCCUCAGGAUUUAUUUAUUUUGUAACUGGAAGUUUGUGCCUUUUGAUCACCACCCAAACAGUUGAUUCUUAAAGGACAAAGAUAAUACGUGUUCAAUGCUUGAACUUUCUGAGGCUCAGGGAAAGGCUGCCAGGGGGCUUAUGAAGUGUGGCAUCUAUACUAAAGCACUGCAGACCCAGAGGAUGGAUGGUUUGGUUCAAUCCUAUAAAUAUGCUGUGAAUGACUGGCUUCAUGCUAGUUGGCAAUGCAAAAAGGAGUCACACCUUGACCUUGCAAUUGUGGCUCUCAUAGCCUAGGGGAGAUCUAGGUGCUUAAACAGGAAAUAUAAUACAGUGAUCUGUGUUCUGAGUGCAGUGCAGCCAGAUUGCUUUGAGAGUCCGGACAAGGGACUUUGAGUCCCACCCUUUAAAGGUGUGAGGUCUUGGUCAGUUUGUAUAUUUUGAUGGAUAGGACAAGUAUGCCCAGUUAUACACAAGCACUAACAUAUACUUUCCCCUUGAAGCUGGUGAUUGCAGAGAACACAGGCAUCUUCACGAGGCAAUAGAAAACACCUAAAAGUGAGAAGCUUAGGAUGAGCCUCUGAAAAUGCAUUGAUUACAGACAAGCCCAGCUCUUUGGGCGCUGCUGGAAAUUAUCACUCCGGAUCCCUCUUUCUGCUGGGGAGGGAAGGGAACUGACAUUUACAAGGCAACUGACAUGAGCCAAAUGCCUUAAAGGUUGUCUCCCCUGAUGUCCAAGGAGAUCUUCUAAGAUGAACAUUUGAGCAUCUUUCUAGGCUGAGGAAGUCGAGGUUCAGAGAAGUUAGACAAUUGGCCCGAGCUCAGACAGUUAGAACUUGACCAAAUGAGGAUUCUAAUUCGGAGCUCUCUGACUCAGUGCCUGUGCGUGCCCUUUCUCCAUGUCUGCUGCUCUGUCCUGACUCCCAAGUUCCACUCUCUUUAUGAGUGUUUGCUCUUUUUUCUGUUUUCUUUUAUUGUUAUCACACUGCCUUCAGAGAGCCAGCCCUUUCACCUUUCCGUGGCACUUUCGGAUGCAUUGAAGUCUUUGAGCCACUGGUGAGCCUAACGUCUAAAAAGAGGUGCAAGUUAAAGUGAAUGGGGUCAUUAUCAUCAUCAUCAUAAUCAGAGAACAAGCACGGUGAUCCUGAGCCUGCAGUUACAUUUGCUUCCUUGCUAGGCACUAGGUAGAACGAUUUGGGUAAAUGUGAUUUCUGUUUUCUAGAGACAGAUGUUCCCCUGGAUGUGGAGUUUAAUUGGAAAUAAUGCAGGAAAUAUGAUUUGGGGAUUUUGUGUUUCAAAAGACCGAGGGGUCUGCCAUGGCAGUCUAAGGCUGCACAAAAGUAAUGUAGAGGCUCUAUAAAGGCAGGAUGGUAACAAUAAAGUAGAAAAAGAGCAAACGCUCAUAAAAGAAGUGGAAACUCAGGAGGAAGUGAGAUGACUCUAUGAAAAGGGUAUUGGACAGUGCACUGAAGUGCGUGUGUGCGUGCGUGCGCAUGUGUGUUUUGGGGGGAGGUAAGGGUAGGGGAAGGGAUGAGAAGAACGCAGUGAAUUAUGACAUUCCUGUCGAUUCCUUAUCUUUUCUUGUUAGCACAGCUCAUCCGGACUCCACCCGCCUUUCUUUUCUCUGGACUGUCUGCACUUUCUAGGUCGUUGCUCUGCUAUUUUGAAUGGAGAAGUCCUUGGGUCUCAGUCCAGGAAAGAUGGCCAGAAAGGGCCUGCUUUCAUAGUUGGGCCAUCCUGCAAGCACUGUUUUCCAGAGCCUGCAUUCUGAAAAACCGGGGCCUAGGAAGGAGGUAGGGGAUGAAGGUGGGUGUGGGGGUAAAAUCCGGGAAGCCUUUUGAAAUGAAUGAAGUGAGAAUUGAGACAAUUUCCACGUGAAGUCACCUCUCCACGUAUUUGUCAUUAACUGUCUGGGACCAAAUGGGGCUAAUUUAGCAUCAUGCUGGAAAGUCUGUAACGUGAACCACGUCCUAGGGCCGGAGCAUCCAGGUUUUGAUCCUUUGUGAACGCCCCUCUUUUGGAAUUCCAUCUGGUGUCAGUACAUAGGAACUAAGGGCUGUGCCAGGUUGUGAGUCAUCACUCCCUGCUUCCUUCCAGAGCACCGUGGGAAAAGCAUAGGCAGACUGGCUCAGAUCAAACCCAGUCCCACCCAAACGCUCACUGAAGGCUGGAAACAAAUCCAUUUAAAAAAUGUUUUAAAAAUUGAACUGAACUCAGGAAAGAGAUUAUAAGCUUCUGUUCUUUGGUUUCAACUUGGAUCUGAAGCCUUGUUUUGCUUUCUGUUAACUCUCAAAGCUCACUUUGGGUGUUAUCUGUAACCCUUUAGGAUUUUUAGGGGGUUUCCACUUGCCUUUUAAAGGACAUUUAUUAACUGGUUCCACCAUGCUAGGGUUUGGGGAUACAAAUUUGACUAAGAUGUGGCCCCUGACUUUGAGGACAGCACAGUUUAGAGUGGUGAGGGCAUGGGUCAUAUUGUGUGUGUAAAUGCUGUGUGAUAAACCUGUUCAUAAGGAUACAGUGUACAGAGACUGCCUGAGGAUCCUUGUCUGAACACGGCUCUGUGCUGGGGUUGGUGGUCCUCCCAUUGCACUGGAUGGUGUUGCUCUUGGAAGUUCCAGUACUUCUCCUGCAGAGCUUGAAAGAACAGGCUAUGUUCUUGUCUGCUUGGACAUAAAUGACUGUGCUUAGAACAUAGUAAGAGCAUGAGUCUUGAGGGUCCUCUAACAAUCUCUCAUUGAUAAAGGCUUGGCUAUUUUUGUUCUGAAUGCCUUUUCACUUCCCUUCGGUAAGCAAUCCGGGCUUCCUGACAGGGUGGCCUUCUGUCUUCUGGCGUUCCGAAGAUAACUGGCGGACAUGUUUUCCAAGCUAAAGGUGACAUUUCAUCGUCUCCCAACAUUGUUCCUGAUGAUUUGGUGUUUGCAAAGCUGAGCACCGAAUUUCAUGUGUGUGCACUACAAAUUGGAUCUGCAGGUCCAGCCACGUCAGACCCCAUCAGCCACUCUUGUUCUCUGGACUUGCCUAAACCAUUCCAGGAAUUACCAGAUACCUGAUUGCAUGCAGCUGUGGGUGUCCCAGGUAGAGCGGGGAGGAGGGCCACAGAAGCUGGUUUAUGAGCACAGGAAAUGCUUAUUUCACGACUCAGACUCCGUGUCUCUGUAAGCGUCUGCUCUGCUCCCUCGGAUUAAGCGGCUGUAACAUUGCCACUCGUCGCCGAGGCUCCUGGUUUCAGCAUGUCUCCUUGGUUCCAAGCCAGUCCUGGUGUUCAGGUAGCAGCUGUGGCUGGGAGUGUCUCUUCAGCCCGCAUUCCUUGGCUACGAAUUUUGCAGCCCUGUUUAUCUGAUGAAGAUCUCCUCGUGAUGGCAGAGAGCUGAGCCAGGCAGUGCCCCCUCCCAAACCCGGAUGCCCUCCCUGUUCACCAGCCCCUCGAAGCCUUUACCGCCUUCACAUACAACAGGCAUUUAAAGGAUCUGGCAAGACUGCCGGUUAGGUAAUGCAAUUCAGGAGAUGGCUUUCUCCACGCCAUGGGGAACAUGGCUCUGAGCAACCUUGGUCUCUUCAUCUCAUCCAAACAGCUCUUCAACCAGCAAAGAUGAAGAGUUCUUCCUCUCUGACUCCAGCCUGAAAACAAUCCCAAGCAUGAGUUGCAUUGGACCAACUUAGGUCACAUAUUCUCCCCCAAACCAAUCACAGCCAGGAAGAUGGGGUAAUAUGAUUGGUCCAAUUGAGAGCACACAUCCAUGCUUUUCAUUAGAAUUUUUUCCCAUUAAAGAGAUGCAUUGGGCACACAAAGAUAGUAACCUUUAUCCUCUAUGAGAGGUAAUAGAAUAAUUAAUGUGUUUUUGUUAAAGUUGGUUUAAAAAGCCAAAACACUAGAACCUCAGGAUAGCUGGCUAAGAUUCCACAAAGUCUGAUUGGACAUGUCAUGUGGACUUUUCAGCCAAGAAAUGAAAACUAUUAUACUUUUGUCUCCCAGUGUGUUAGCUCACAGAGUACCAACUUAAAUUUAUUUCUUAGUAUGCAGACAUUUUAAUAGAGAAAGUUACAAACACUUGGGUACUAUCUUAGAAAAAGUAGACCCUCUAAAGAGGGUGACUGAGGGCUGCACCACAGAUGAACAUCACUGUUGUUUGAAAACCUUCAGGGUGCUUUGUCCUGUGGGAAUACAUUAUUCUAACACUUUGCUUAACAUUUUUGCUUCCUGUAGAGUGGGCUGAGGAUGGGACCUCAAAACAGACAUAAAUUGAAUUCAAUAGUGGAUGAACGUCUCCUGAAGUCUUUGCCAGGGUUAUUGCAGACAUUGAGCUGUUUGCUCUUGGCCCCAGUGCUUCAGUGUCCACUCACUAUUACAUUAGUGGGAGGACUGUUGUAUUGUAUUAGAGAUCUGGAGAGCUUGUGACGCGUAAAGAGUCAGUGUUUUGACUUUUUAUGCCAGCAUCAUCACUUCUGCACUUGUAUCACAUUUCUCCUAUCAGUUAGGCUCUCAAUUCAAGGUUACCUUGAUUACUUUCAGAUCUUCAAUCAUGAAUCUUUCUAAACUAUUUUUACCUCCAAAUGCUCUUGUCUUUUCACUGACUCACUUUUUCUUCUUUCUGUCUGAAAACCAGAGAUAUCCCUAACCUUUUCCAGCACUAAAUUCUUCCCUCUUUCACCUCUUUAGAAAACUAACUCCAUCCAUUACUUCAUCUUCUAUUUGUAGCUCCAGUUAUUGCUCUCUGAUGCAUGUCUCCUCACUUACCUACCUACAAUACUAUCUCCUUGAGAUACCAUCAAAAGGGAUAAUAUAUGAGGAAGCACACGGUUGCUCUAAAGUGGAAUAUAGCCAUGAUGGAAUAUCAUUGCUUUCCGAUCUUUCUCCUUCACUCCACAAUUUUCUAAAAAAAAGUCAAUAUAAAUAUUUCUUGAUUUUGCUUUCUUGCUACUCAACUCAUUACUUAAUAUCUUAAAAUCUGACUUCAUUCUCCUAACUCAAUGAUCUGGGGUCCAUAUCGUUGCUUGUCUUUCUUCUAGCUUGUGACGCAGUCGACCAUGCUUUCCUCUUUUGGUUUCUAUAACCUCACUCACUACUUUGGUUCACCUUCUCUCUCUCUGACCACUCAUAUUUUAAUGAUCAUCUUAAAUGAUGAUCACUAAGUGAUGGUCCCCAUCAUUCUGUCCUUGCUCUGUCUCCUCCUGCCCCCCUCUCUCUCAUUCUCAUAAAUACUUCUUGAAAGAAUUCCCAGAUCUCUCUCUUCACAUCAACUUCUUUGUUAAAUGCCUGCUGAAAACUUUAACCUACAUAUAUCAAUCAGUAGCACCCAGACACAAUGUGUGCUCAAAUCAACUCUUAUCCCAUCUGAAAUAUCUUCUGCCCCAUCUCAGCCAACAUCUCUAUCCAGUCACUUAGGCUUGAGGCCUUGGUUCCAUCUUGAUUCCCCUCCCUCCCCUAGACCUGACUCCAAUUUAAGCCAUAUUUUAAGGAUACAUUUUCCUAUUCACCUGCCUUCACUGUGUCUCUCCUCUCUGCCUUCUCCUCCUUCAGGCAGUAUGGUUCCAGCUGCUGGAGCAGCACACAGUCUAUUAUUUUGCUUUCAGUGAGGUUGUCCAGAAGUAUUUUGUGGCUCUACUUUUUCCUUUCUUCCUCAUCUUUUUCUGUUUCUGAGGUGACUAACCCUUUGAACUUUAACCACAGAGAUCACUAAAUCUUCUACACAAGCACUCUUCUUAUAACCCCAGUGGACACUGAUGUGUUGAGAAUGGCCUGCAUAAUAUGUCUAAUAAGUAACGGGUGUAAGCUGACUAUUGUUUGUCAGCAGUGACAUGACAGAAAUACAUUUCACAGCCAUGUGUCUUACCAACAUAAUUUGCAUCUUCAAAUAAGUCAGUAUCUUCAUAUAGGACAACAUUUCAAAGAUACUUGAUUUAGAAAGCUGAGGUUUUGAGGCUCUAACGAUGAGCUAAUGAAUGCACUUUAAACAUACUGCUUGAGUUUUGAUGCUUUUCUAGCAAUCAUCGAAUAUAAUUCCAGUUUAUGCGGACCCUCAUCAGAAACAUCACCUUCCAACCUCUAACUUUAUUUCUGCUGGUCCUAUUAACAAAGAAUGAUUAAAGACAACUUCAGUCUUCCCAGUUUCACCCUUAAAGACAUGGGAUGUAACAGCAGUGCACUGAGUAGCUGUGAAAAAGAAGAGGGAAGCCCCUUGCAUGUUACGUGGACUGAUCUCUGUGUGGACUGAAUUGUUUGUGUCUCCCCAGAGUCCAUAUGUUGAAACCCUAACCCCCACCCUCGCUGCCGUGUGGUUGGGAAGCAGAGUCUUUGGGAGGUAAUUAGGGUUAUCUGAGAUCAUGCAGGUGGGGCCCUCACAGUGAGAUUAUUACCCUUAUAAGAGGAGAAACUGGAGAGCUUGCUGCCUCUCUCCGCCACGUGAGGACGCAAUGAGAAGACGGCUGUCUGCAAGUCAGGAAAAGAGCCCUUCCCAGAACCUGAUCGUCCUGGAGCCCUGAUGCAGGAUUUCCAGUAUCCAGAAAUGUGAGAAAAUAAAUUUCUGUUAUUUAAGCCA